rnacentral:tRNA from 1 species
GCCGAAGUGGCGGAAUUGGUAGACGCACCAGUUUCAGGGACUGGCGAGUGUAUACUUGUGGGAGUUCGAAUCUCCCCUUCGGCACCA